ensembl:lncRNA
UUGCUGUCCAGCUGCGAAGGCAGAGAAUGAUGGUUUAGGACUUGUUUAAGGAAGAAACAAGCUGACUUGUUGCCACUGCAGGGGCACAGCAGAAGGGGAUGGUGUCAUCUCCCAUCUCCUGCUGCAUUCCAUGCCUGUAGCUGCGGAGGUCCAUAGGUAACUGCAGUGCAGAGACAGUAUGACUCAAUGGAAUACUCACCACGUACAUCCACCCCUGACACCCAAUUCUGUAGCUCUGUGUUAGAGGUGCUGAGAAAAUACAUCACAGGAGAAGCGGCUGCGGGGUGACAUGCACGUCACGUAGCAUUGUGUGAGCUGCGCCAUUCAGUGCCUUUAAUCUCACAUCCUCAAAACCUCCUCAGAUAGUGGUUAAAAUUUAAACAGGCCUUCCGAAAACACACUCGUGAUCCCAUUAUCGGUAUUGUGGAUGGGAUUACAAUGAGGGUGGCAAUGGCGGAAAAUUUUUAGGAGCAAUCUUGUAUCACCAGCAGGAGUGGCCACUAAUUGGAUUCUGUCUGUGUCACCGCAGAGCUGUCACGGGACCCCCUUCUCUGUCGAAGGCUGCGGCUCUCAGGGCACUCAGAAAAACGCUUUCUCAAUUGUUAUCACAUCAGUCUGCCUUCCCACUCAAACACAAAUCCCCAAAGCCCUUUCUAAAGUGGAGGAAAUCAUGGAACCCAGUGCUCUCAUCACACCCAGCCCAACGUCUGGCCUUCCUGGAUGCGGGUGAGCCUGUCGUUACACAGAGCUCAAACUGCACGAACCAACACCUAACACCACAUGAGGCAUGCAGAUUGAACAAAGCUAGAUAAUAAACUGCAAACCAGCAAAUAGGCUGCAACAAAGUGACCUCGGCAGAACAGAAUUUGCAAAUCUUUCAGAAGAAUUUUUUCCAUCUCUAUCCAAUUUCCACUGAGUUGGGCUUUUCUAAGUCUUCCACAUUUGGAAAUGCUGUCCCUCACAUCACAGCAUUUUUAACAAACUGUUUUUAUCACUUCCAAUUACUAUCAUUUUCACACUGAUCCUUGCCAUCUCUGGGACACUUCAAGCUCCCUACACACAUUUUUCCCUAAUGACCUCUCAUCUAGCCUACUUGCUGAAGAUGUAUUUACAUGCCAUUUGGAAACUUACCAAUUUUGUUUUUUUUAAGGUUAUAUUACACCAAUCAUAAUUACUUUUUUUUCCUCUGAAACUGCGAAUAAUUCAAUGGAAAGCCAAAAAGCCACGCCAAGCAGGAGAAACUGAAGUCGUGCAAUACGAUGGAACAAGCUCACCCACCUUGAUUAUAACGUGCUAAGAAGAGGAAGCUCCUGACAAGCAAUAAACUGACACAUAAUUAAGACAAUUCAGGGCAGAACACACUCAGACUGGAAAACGUUUUCUUGGGCUCUGUCUCGCUGUUCAGAGCAGUGAGGAAAAAAAGGGUGUCACUUAAACAUUUCUAUGAAGAUGAUCAGUACCAAUCCAGUCAUCAAUGCCCACAGCAGGGGACUGGAGCUCCAUGAUCUUUAAGGUCCCCCCCAACCUCAGCCAUUCUAUGAUGCUGCCAUUCCACUAUGUGGGAGCAGAGGGGAAAUCUGGGGGAAAAACAAACCCACCACAUUUUGUGCGGUGCAGAUUCCCUCACAUCACAAAUGCAGUUGAUAGUACAGACAUGCCUGGUAUGCUCAGCAUUCCCUAUCAAACAGAGAUGAAUUAGCCGCAACAAGAACAUCUUACAGCUUUCAUACAGUGGCUUAUGGAUCUUUUUGUUCCCCUGGAAUUUCUAACCUUGAGCAUAUCACGGAUCUCCGAAAGUCGCACCGGUCUCAGAUCUCUCCCUCAGAUUACUUUUAUCUCACCGUGAGGAACAUCUCUGAGAGUUCUGAACACUUUUACAGCUGCUGGGAUGCUAAUGGGAACUUCAUGUGUGUACCCAGCACAAGUGUUCUCAGGGAAGAAAAAAAAAGCCAAUGUCAAAGGCAGGUAUGUAGAAGUCACCAUAAAUAUGUCUUUGAAUGUUUACCAUCUGGAACAGUAGAUUACAUUUUGACAAGAAGCUGGACUGCCCUGUGGGCAUUGUCUUCUAAACAGCCCCAUCAUUAUAAAGGAAGGAAAAACAUGAUUUGCUGUUCCUAGUUCAGUAGGAUUUUCUGGCAGCGCUAGAAAAACUUAGUUGCUGGGGCUUUUUUUCCUAUUGAAACAAUUACAUGAUGGGCACGUGCAGUUAGAGACUCAGUUUCUGGAAAAAAAAUAUGUUUUCUUAUAGAUGAUGUGAUCUAUGGCCUAACAGUGUCCACAGAGAGGGCUGUGACAGCACAGACUGAACGUCUCACAGCACUGCAGUGCUGCACCUUAUCCUGCUUGGAUGGCUGAAGCUCUGCAUGCUGCAGCUGGCUUAUGGGCUUCUCACAGACAGGCUGGGAAGGGGGAAAAGGAGAAAUUCAAUGCACAUGGCAUAAAAGGCCGUAAUGCAGAGUCACAGAGAGGGGGGCUUGGUUGGUUGGUUUUGCUUUUUUUUUUUUUUUUUUUUUUUUUGGAAACUUGUAAAGUUUCCAUCACUUUUUCCAGUGAUAAAGAGUAGACUGAGAAAAAAAUCAAAAUGGUCAGGUUUUUUUUUUUUUUUUUCACAUAAGCAUUGAUCUAGUCAUGCAGCCUCAUUAAGGAUUUAACUUACUCUUUGGAACUUCUGUGGGUGCCUUGUGUCUACUCUUACUGAAGAGUGUAUCUGAAUAUACAGGCUAAGACCAAUCUGUAAAGGGGCCCAAGAGAAAAAGUUGAUUUGAGACAAAACUCUAUGUGCAGCUUGAAACAUGGUUUUAUGGGCACCGCUACACAGCUGAAUGCCAAAAUCCCAAAGCACCAGCUAUAAAUCCCCUUGCUCAGCCUACUACACAGAUCUCAUUUCAGCACACAUUAUAUACAGCAUUAUUUAUAGAACAUCUCACCUGUAAGCGGUGAGGAGAGUGAGAGAUUUCCUUCACGAGCAGGAGGCCAGUAACUCAUAGGCACACAGGUAUGGGCGAGUCAGUGUGAAGAUCUAUUCAAAGAAACACAAAAAGAUACGUAUCCUCACACAGAGCACAGUUAAAUCUUGGAUCUUC